CCUAGUGCUCAGUGUAGUUGCAUGUAGGUGUACACAGAUAUUUUUUGAAGUCGUUGCUCAGUUAUUUGUGUAAUGAUUUCAGUUUGUUCAUGUGGAACAAAAAACAGUGUACCUGUUAGAUCCGAGUGGAUAUGCUGCAGAAAAGAAGGCGUCAAAAAUGGCUGCAAACAAAACUAAAGUAAAUAUUUAUGCUUACAACUCACAUUAUGUAAAAUAAUACAUGUUUUUCCAGGGAAUACCUGCACAUGAGAAGGGUGCGCCACAAAGCAAAAGACUGGUAUUGAUUGGGAAGGGGCGGUGAUGAAACAUCCACUGCAAAAGGAUGGAAGCAGUUGUGGUGUCAUCGUAGCCAAGAUGGCAAAGGAAAUUAUUCAGACGUUUCUAAGGAUCCCCAAUAUAAUGUUUUCUACAACGACAGACAGCAUGAGAACUGAAAGAAAAACAAUGGCCCUUGAACUUCUGCAGGGAUCAGUUUUCCAAAUGGAUUCCUGGUGUGUGAUCUGUGCCUCCAAAGACCCACCUACAUCUACUGCUGCCACAGCUACAUAGACUGUGAAGAGUGAUACUGGUUGGAUUUAAUGUGACAUAUGUGACCGGUGGUUUCACGGGGAAUGCGUUGGAAUAAAAAUUGACGAUCUCAAGAAAGCGGAAGAUAAUCACUGGCUUUGUCCUCUGUGC